CCUACGGGAGGCAGCAGUGGGGAAUAUUGGACAAUGGGCGAAAGCCUGAUCCAGCAAUUCCGCGUGUGUGAAGAAGGCCUUCGGGUUGUAAAGCACUUUAGUGGGGGAAGAAACAGCUUGGCCACACCAAGCCUUGACGGUACCCCAAGAAUAAGCACCGGCUAACUCUGUGCCAGCAGCCGCGGUAAUACAGAGGGUGCAAGCGUUAAUCGGAUUUACUGGGCGUAAAGGGUGCGUAGGUGGCUAUUUAAGUCGGAUGUGAAAGCCCGGGGCUCAACCUCGGAAUUGCAUUCGAUACUGAGUGGCUAGAGUUCGGUAGAGGGCGGCGGAAUUUCCGGUGUAGCGGUGAAAUGCGUAGAUAUCGGAAGGAACAUCAAUGGCGAAGGCAGCCGCCUGGGCCUGGACUGACACUGAGGCACGAAAGCGUGGGUAGCAAACAGGAUUAGAUACCCUGGUAGUCCCGACGACCGUAACGAUAGAGACUAGUACGUGUUCGUUUACGUAUACGUGUCGCNGCUACGACGAUAAGUUACGUCCGCCGUCGGGUAGGUACGGCCGGCCGACGGUUAGUAACGUACGAAACGAAGUUAGACGGCGUGAGACGUGCCGACGGACGACGACGAGGGAGGUAGG
rnacentral:rRNA from 1 species